ACCGACGCAUUUCUUCCCGCUCUGGGACGUCGCAGCCGGUUGGGUGCCGAGCGCGGUAACAAGUAGUGUGUGCCGAUGCUCCGUCGAUUAUGGCUCCCGCAGGGGAUGGCGGCUUGCGGCGAGUAAGUCGGUAACCCACCCGACCCGUCUUGAAACACGGACCAAGGAGUCUAACUUGUGCGCGAGUCAUGGGGUCUUGAACAGGCCCAGAGGCGCAGCGAAAGUGAAGUUGGGAUUCCGCGGACGCACCAGCGGCCGGAUCGGUGCUCGAGCGCACACGUUGGGACCCGAAAGAUGGUGAACUAUGCCCGGCCAGGGCGAAGUCAGAGGAAACUCUGAUGGAGGCUCGUAGCGCUUCUGACGUGCAAAUCGAUUGCGAGAGCCGGGUAUAGGGGCGAAAGACUAAUCGAACCAUCUAGUAGCUGGUUCCCUCCGAAGUUUCCCUCAGGAUAGCUGGCGCUCGGAUAGUUUCGCCCAAUCAAGCGAA
rnacentral:rRNA from 1 species